GCCUUCAUGGUGUAACGGUAGCCACACUCGGCUUGUAUUCUAGAGGUCCAGGUUCGAGUCCCAGCGAGGGCA
rnacentral:tRNA from 1 species